rnacentral:lncRNA from 1 species
UUUAGGAAGGGGUAGCAGGUCAGUAGAGGUAUCUGAAGGUGGGGUUGGUUUAUGGCUCUAUGUGAAUAUCAGCAGCAGUAAGAGUAUGGAGCUGCUGCUGCUUGCUAUAGAGAUUCUGUUUACCUUUUUCUUCCUGUGACAAGUCCAAAGAAAUUAUGUUGGAUCCAGCUGAGCUGUUCUGAAACUAUAGCAUUUGCCUAAAACCAGAAGAGAAUUCAUCCACUCUGUAGGAGAUGUAUAUUUAGCUGCCUGCCAGCCAAUCACAGGUGCAGGGGUUAAAACAUUAAGAAGGAUCAAGUAUUUCUCAAUCAGAGGUGAGGGUAGGUUGGUAGCAUACAAGAGACAAGCCUGUGAAAUUGCUACUGGUAAGAUUCUCCAAGGACUUGAGUCUAUUGAGUGCUUUCACUAGUGCUUUACUUUCUGAAGAAGCUGCUGAGUGUCAUCUUUCUUCAUUAAACUUGCAGAAAUGUAUUUCUUUUUGAACUCGUUUUCAUGUUAUUAAAUCUUAGCAAGGGGAGCUGAAAUAUAAGACACUGGACUUCAUGCAGGAAGGUACAAGUAUUUCAGGGCUUCUUGCCAUUCAUUUGCCAGGUGUUCAUUUUCCUCGUACGUUGAAUCUUUGUAUAACUGACACUAAGAUGAUCAAAAU